rnacentral:lncRNA from 1 species
UUUAGCAGGAAUAGUUGGAGCCCUUCUGAAUGUUCGUUUGAGCUCAAAUUUGACAGGCAGGCUUAGUUUAACGUACUGAGUAAGAAUAUAUCUUAAGUUUUCAGUUUCGACCCCGUUUGGUCACUGAAAACUGUACCGAACUGUAAUCUUUAUCAGAUAGCUGUCGGAUUUUAUUUCUCACUCCACGGGUGUCAGAAAAAUAUGAAACUUUAAAUCUAACCUUAUAAAAAUAUUUCUGACUUAUCCUCCAAUUUUCAUAAUUUUCUGAGACUGUACAUUUUCUGCUAAUUUAUCUGUCCUGUUUCCAAUAGAAAAUUCUAGAUCUUCUGUUUUCAUUCCGAUUUCAGCACAAGUCACUUCUGACUUAUGUUUUACUCCUCUAAAUCCAAUAAAAAUAUUAUCUGACACUAUUUUUAUUUAUUUUUAUUUUUAUAUUUAAAAUCCUGUAUAUUACAUUCCACCGCAACCUCACCGAAACCAUUCAAAUGGCUUUCAAACCAAAUGUACACCGUAACUUCAUAAUUUUAGAAGUCCGGUACCUUACAUCCUCCCCUCCUUAAAAGAGUUUCGUUCUCAAAACUAUCCCACUUCAAUUCCAAUUCAUACCCCAACUCAACUUAUCAAAUAGUCGAGGGUUCCAAUGCACUUUUGCAUUUCGGAGUGGCCUUUCACUCAUCGGAACUAUCCA